UUUGCAAGGUUUUGGUAGAGAGGGGCUGCAAGGGUGGCCUCUGUGAGAAGAAUCCAGAAGCUGCUCCAUGUUAGAUAAGGGCUCUGUGGUGGAGC